rnacentral:misc_RNA from 1 species
AAAAAAAAAAAAAAAAAGGAAAGAGAAAGAAGUUCAUCCAUUUCAUUAGAAAGCACCAAUUAAUUGCGUCCGGUGAAUAGGAAAUAUAGUAAAUAGCCAAAAGAACAAGGGUUUUUUAUUUUCUGCUUUUUGGGCUAGUAGACGAGGAUUGAUUUUAUUAUUAUUUUUUUCCCUAUUUGUCUCAUCUUUUGCAGACCUCUAGUGGUUUUCAAACAA